rnacentral:tRNA from 1 species
AGUAAAGAAGUAAAAAUAAAUACAUUUAGUUUCGACCUAAAAUAUAGGGAAUAAUAUACCCCUUACUU